rnacentral:rRNA from 1 species
GGGUAGUCCUAGCUGUAAACGAUGGACACUAGGUGUUGGGAGCAUCGACCCUCUCAGUGCUGUUAUGCUAACGCGUUAAGUGUCCCGCCUGGGGAGUACGGCCGCAAGGUUGAAACUCAAAGGAAUUGACGGGGGCCCGCACAAGCGGUGGAGCAUGCGGGUUAAUAGGAUGAUACGCCAAGAACCUUACCAAGGCUUGACAUCGUUCGGACAGCCUGUGAAAGCAGGUCUCUUAGGUAACCCCUAAGUCGAAUGACAGAUGGUGCAUGGUUGUCGUCAGCUCGUGCCGUGAGGUGUUGGGUUAAGUCCCGCAACGAGCGCAACCCUCGCCAGAUGUUGCCAUCGGGUCUUCGGACGCCGGGCACUCUUCUGGGACUGCCUGAGUAGUCAGGAGGAAGGAGAGGAUGACGUCAAAUCUGCAUGCCUCUUACGCCUUGGGGCUGCACGCGUGCUACAAUGGCGGGGUACAAAGGGUUGCUAAGCCGCGAGGUGGAGCUAAUCCCCC